rnacentral:rRNA from 1 species
UACAGAGGUCCCGAGCGUUGUUCGGAUUCACUGGGCGUAAAGGGUGCGUAGGUGGUUGGGUAAGUUUGAUGUGAAAGCUCAGGGCUUAACCCUGAAAUGGCAUUGAAUACUACUUAACUGGAGGUUUGGAGGGGGGACUGGAAUUCUUGGUGUAGCAGUGAAAUGCGUAGAUAUCAGAGGAACACCAGUGGCGAAGGCGAGUCCCUGGACAACACCUGACACUGAGGCACGAAAGCUAGGGGAGCAAACAGG